UACGUAGGGUGCAAGCGUUAAUCGGAAUUACUGGGCGUAAAGCGUGCGCAGGCGGCUAUGCAAGACAGAUGUGAAAUCCCCGGGCUCAACCUGGGAACUGCAUUUGUGACUGCAUGGCUAGAGUACGGCAGAGGGGGAUGGAAUUCCGCGUGUAGCAGUGAAAUGCGCAGAUAUCAGGAGGAAUACCGGUGGCGAAGGCGGCCCCCUGGACAAAGACUGACGCUCAGGUGCGAAAGCGUGGGGAGCAAACAGG
rnacentral:rRNA from 1 species